rnacentral:rRNA from 2 species
CAACUUUCAACAACGGAUCUCUUGGUUCUGGCAUCGAUGAAGAACGCAGCGAAAUGCGAUAAGUAGUGUGAAUUGCAGAAUUCAGUGAAUCAUCGAAUCUUUGAACGCACAUUGCGCCCUUUGGCAUUCCAAAGGGCAUGCCUGUUCGAGCGUCAUU